UGUCAUACUUAUGGUGUGAUAAUCUUGGAGCAACAUAUUUGUCUGCAAACCCUGUGUUUCAUGCCAGAACAAAACACAUAGAGAUUGACUUUCACUUUGUACGUGAAAGAGUUGCACAGAAACUUUUGGAGAUAAAAUUCAUCCCAACUGGAGAUCAAGUUGCAGAUGGGUUCACUAAACCACUACAAGUUCCACAGCUUCAAGCCUUCAAGAACAAUCUCAACCUUGACAUGUUAAGAUUGAGGGAGGAUGUUAAAAGGUAGAUUGUAGCGUGUCAACUUUGUACGUAUUUGUGUAUGCGUUGUAUGAGUUGGUUGUAAUCGAGGUAGGUUGUUAGAAUUCGGCCUUAUCUUGUAUAGCUUGGAUUAGGGGCCAAGACUUCAACAACCUACCUCACCGCAUGUACUCUGUGCUAUAUAUAUCAACAUGAACGCGUCCCUGAUAAGAUUAUCAAACGCUUAACCUAGUUUCUUUCAGUGAGCUGUUGAUAAGUUGAUUUCUCUUUUGUUCAAGCAGUAGGUACUAGCUACUAGCUACCAGAUGAGAUGUUUCGAUUCAUCUCUCUUUUUAUUGUCUCUUAUAGCGAUGAUGAGCUGCGCUGUUAUAUGAUGGCAUCGGAGUCUAAUUAUAGCACCAUGCUUCUGCACCCAAAUCGUCUGCAUAUAUUUCCAAGGCUACAGCUUACAGGUGACUGAUUUUUCCUAGAUUUCCUUUCAGCUUAUAUUUCCCCUGUUUUUUGUACAAAAGAAGAAAAUAACAUUCUGUUCUUUAAACAUAAACCCCAAAUUAUAGGCCAUACAAUCUGCACUGUAAGUUGAUGCCUGUCGUCUCCAAACAGAACUAGUUCUUUUUCAUAUGGUCAGCUUGCUCUAUUAUAUACUCUCACCAUUACGAUAUGGGCUACCUCCUCAUCUCUUAUAUAAUUUGAAGCACCCCUUUUGUUGACACACUUUACACGAAGUUGGGAUUUCUCAACCUGGGACAAGCUGGAGCAUGGCAUGACUAAGCUCAUAAUGCAAUUAAUGCGACUUAUGGCGGCACAUUACCUGAUUUUCCGAUGAAGGUUGUAUAAUAGCAAGGUGCCAACUGGAGGAAGGUAUAGUCCAAUGGAAGUACCAGAGGAAUCUUGAUAUAACGGGGGAGCUGGAGCAACUCUCAGGUAUAUGAGGUCUGAGCAGGGUGCAUGCCUCUGCAGCUGAAGUGAACAAAACAUUUUAGCCAUCCGGUGCUUGAAAAGGAAACUGAAUGUUCUGAAGUGUGAACUGUGAUCACACCAUAAAUGCUGGGGCGACGACAUUGGAAAAUGCAAUGGACUACACCACACAAAAUGCUGCUACCAAUCAAGCUGCAUAUAUGUACUGUUAUGCUGCAAUUGACCAUCACGUUCAGCUCUCUAAGUUCUCUACUGGCUGCUGGCCUCUGAUAUGGUGCAAGAUGAAGCUGAGAGGGACCUCGACAUUACUACACUGCGAAUGGAAGAGGAUUGCAUUGAUCUGGGGCUUCAAUGUAAUGAAGGGGGGUAGCAAGCUGUUGCAACUGUUUUCAAUGUAAUGCCAUCUUGAGAUCUCAGAAGGUUUACAAGUUGCAACUAGCCCAGAUGAAAAACUGGGUUCCUGGGGAACACCAUGGAAAUGGAAUAGAUGAUGAACGUGAUGAGAAUA